rnacentral:rRNA from 1 species
AUUGAACGCUGGCGGCAGGCCUAACACAUGCAAGUCGAACGAGUGGCGGACGGGUGAGUAAUGUACGGGAAACCGCAUCAUGGAGGGGGAUAACUACUGGAAACGGUAGCUAAUACCGCAUACCAUCAGAUGUGCCCAGAUGGGAUUAGCUAGUUGGUGGGGUAACGGCUCACCACUGCGAAGAUCCCUACCUGGUAUGAGAGGAGGACCAGCCACACUUGAACUGAGACACGGUCCAGACUCCUACGGGAGGCAGCAUUGGGGAAUAUGGCACAAUGGGCGCAACCCUGAUGCAGCCAUGCCGCGUGUAUGAAGAAGGCCUUCGGGUUGUAAAGUACUUUCAGCGGGGAGGCGUUACCCGCAGAAGAAGCACCGGCUAACUCCGUGCCAGCAGCCGCGGUAAUUC